rnacentral:misc_RNA from 1 species
AAGAAACUACAGCUACUGUUCUGAAUUGUUCCUCUUGUACCUGUUCUGUUGGUUUGUUGAACUCGACAAUCUAUCAACAAUCAUAUCCACAAAAGCAAAGUAAACACCACCCCAAGAUCUUUUGAUUAGAAAUAUCAAAAAAGGAAGCAACAAACCUGCUGCAAAUCCCAACCCAAUGCUCAAGUCAAGCCAAUUAUCAAAGAAGCCAUUACCAUCAUCAACCUCAUCUUUCCCUCCAUCA